GAUGAAGAACGUAGCAAAAUGCGAUAAGUAAUGUGAAUUGCAGAAUUCAGUGAAUCAUCGAAUCUUUGAACGCACAUUGCGCCCGCCAGUAUUCUGGCGGGCAUGCCUGUUCGAGCGUCAUUUCAACCCUCAAGCACAGCUUGGUGUUGGGACUCGCGUUAAUUCGCGUUCCCCAAAUUGAUUGGCGGUCACGUCGAGCUUCCAUAGCGUAGUAGUAAAACCCUCGUUACUGGUAAUCGUCGCGGCCACGCCGUUAAACCCCAACUUCUGAAUGUUAACCUCGGAUCAGGUAGGAAUACCCGCUGAACUUAAGCAUAUCAAUAAGCGGAGGA
rnacentral:misc_RNA from 1 species